rnacentral:rRNA from 1 species
CACGUAGGGGGCAAGCGUUGUCCGGAUUCAUUGGGCGUAAAGAGCGUGUAGGCGGCCAGGUAGGUCGGUUGUGAAAACUGGAGGCUCAACCUUCAGACGUCGACCGAAACCAUCUGGCUAGAGUCCGGGAGAGGAGAGUGGAAUUCCUGGUGUAGCGGUGAAAUGCGCAGAUAUCAGGAAGAACACCCGUGGCGAAAGCGGCUCUCUGGAACGGUACUGACGCUGAGACGCGAAAGCGUGGGGAGCGAACAGG